rnacentral:rRNA from 1 species
AAAGCGUGCGCAGGCGGUUUUGUAAGUCUGUCGUGAAAGCCCCGGGCUCAACCUGGGAAUUGCGAUGGAGACUGCAAGGCUUGAAUCUGGCAGAGGGGGGUAGAAUUCCACGUGUAGCAGUGAAAUGCGUAGAGAUGUGGAGGAACACCGAUGGCGAAGGCAGCCCCCUGGGUCAAGAUUGACGCUCAUGCACGAAAGCGUGGGGAGCAAACAGGAUUAGAUACCCCUGU